UUAACCGUUAACACAGGCAGCCGCCGUAAACCGCUGCUCGCCAGAGAAGUACAGGUGAAGAACCAGAAACUCAAAGGACUUGGCGGUGUCCUAUACCAGCCUAGAGGAGCCUGUCCAAUAAUCGAUACCCCACGUUAAACCUAACCUGCCUUUGCCCCCUCAGCCUAUAUACCGCCGUCGCCAGCCUACCUAAUGAUAGAAAUACAGUGGGCAAAAUAGCCCUCACUCACACGUCAGGUCAAGGUGUAGCUAAUAAGCAGGUUUCAGAUGGGCUACAUUUUCUAAUCACAAGAAAACUACCACACGCAUUAUGAAAUAUAAGCCGUAAGGUGGAUUUAGCAGUAAACUGGGUAAGAGAGCCUAAUUGAAAGCUGCCCUGGGACAC
rnacentral:rRNA from 1 species